AAAAAAAAAGAAAAAAGGAACAGAGCCAGCCCCAACCAAAACCCUCCCAAUUCCUCCAGAAUACAACAACCGGAAGACAGUACAACAGUACAACACUAAAACAGUAGUGAACCAUGAGAGUGAUUCAGAGACUCCAGAUGAGCUCUACUCGCAAGACAUGUUUUUAGGCCCAAAACAAGGUG